CCAAACUGUAUGAUAUUUAUACACAUAACAUACCUGCAUUUUAGAGGCCUCCCUUGUUAGAAAACACUUGAAUUCACCAUACGUUACGAUACGCUGAGAGAAAUGUUGCAUGGAAUAGGUGCAUUCAAGUUUUUCUGUCAGUUACGUUGGAUGGCUAGGACUUGAAAUGUCCUAUCAAAAUGGUCGACUUAACAAUGGGUUUGAGUUCCCACUUGUUGCUUGUUGUGGGUUUGGUGGGAAGUACAACUAUAGCAGUAGUGCUGGAUGUGGAACAACAGUUACAGUCAAUGGAAGCCAAAUAUUUGU